rnacentral:rRNA from 1 species
CCUACGGGAGGCAGCAGUGAGGAAUAUUGGUCAAUGGGCGCAAGCCUGAACCAGCCAAGUAGCGUGAGGGAUGACUGCCCUAUGGGUUGUAAACUUCUUUUAUAAAGGAAUAAAGUGAGGCACGUGUGCCUUGUUGUAUGUACUUUAUGAAUAAGGAUCGGCUAACUCCGUGCCAGCAGCCGCGGUAAUACGGAGGAUCCGAGCGUUAUCCGGAUUUAUUGGGGUUAAAGGGAGCGUAGAUGGGUUGUUAAGUCAGUUGUGAAAGUUUCCGGCUUAAACGUAAAAUUGCCAUUAAUACUGGCAGCCUUGAGUACAGUUGAGGUAGGCGGAAUUCGUGGAGUAGCGGUGAAAUGCUUAGAUAUCACGAAGAACUCCGAUUGCGAAGGCAGCUUACUAGACUGCCACUGACGUUGAUGCUCGAGAGUGUGGGUAUCAAACAGGAUUAGAUACCCCAGUAGUC